rnacentral:rRNA from 1 species
CGCGGACUAUACAUGCAGUCGAGCGGACAGAAGGGAGCUUGCUCCCGGAUGUUAGCGGCGGACGGUGAGUAACACGUGGGUAACCUGCCUGUAAGACUGGGAUAACUCCGGGAAACCGGAGCUAAUACCGGAUAGUUCCUUGAACCGCAUGGUUCAAGGAUGAAAGACGGUUUCGGCUGUCACUUACAGAUGGACCCGCGGCGCAUUAGCUAGUUGGUGGGGUAAUGGCUCACCAAGGCGACGAUGCGUAGCCGACCUGAGAGGGUGAUCGGCCACACUGGGACUGAGACACGGCCCAGACUCCUACGGGAGGCAGCAGUAGGGAAUCUUCCGCAAUGGACGAAAGUCUGACGGAGCAACGCCGCGUGAGUGAUGAAGGUUUUCGGAUCGUAAAGCUCUGUUGUUAGGGAAGAACAAGUGCGAGAGUAACUGCUCGCACCUUGACGGUACCUAACCAGAAAGCCACGGCUAACUACGUGCCAGCAGCCGCGGUAAUACGUAGGUGGCAAGCGUUGUCCGGAAUUAUUGGGCGUAAAGGGCUCGCAGGCGGUUUCUUAAGUCUGAUGUGAAAGCCCCCGGCUCAACCGGGGAGGGUCAUUGGAAACUGGGAAACUUGAGUGCAGAAGAGGAGAGUGGAAUUCCACGUGUAGCGGUGAAAUGCGUAGAGAUGUGGAGGAACACCAGUGGCGAAGGCGACUCUCUGGUCUGUAACUGACGCUGAGGAGCGAAAGCGUGGGGAGCGAACAGGAUUAGAUACCCUGGUAGUCCACGCCGUAAACGAUGAGUGCUAAGUGUUAGGGGGUUUCCGCCCCUUAGUGCUGCAGCUAACGCAUUAAGCACUCCGCCUGGGGAGUACGGUCGCAAGACUGAAACUCAAAGGAAUUGACGGGGGCCCGCACAAGCGGUGGAGCAUGUGGUUUAAUUCGAAGCAACGCGAAGAACCUUACCAGGUCUUGACAUCCUCUGACAACCCUAGAGAUAGGGCUUUCCCUUCGGGGACAGAGUGACAGGUGGUGCAUGGUUGUCGUCAGCUCGUGUCGUGAGAUGUUGGGUAGUCCCGCACGAGCGCACCGUGAUCUAGUGCCAGCAUUCAGUUGUCACUCUACGUGACUGCUGUACAACCGGAAGAGGGUGGGGCAUGACGUCAAAUCAU